ensembl:lncRNA
GAUUUGGAGGAACGUCACAUACUAGACUCCAUUGCUUGGCCUGAAAAACCACUUUUGCCAUCUUAUUUUCUUGGAGCAGACCACUGAUCCAGCUCACAGCACCUUCACCAUUCUCCCAGGGAGGAAAGUCCUGCAAUGGAGUUGCUGAUCGGAGUCCUGCUUGGGGCUCCAGUCGGAGACUCCAUAGUCCUACUGGAAGACCUCAAUGCACACGUGGACGACGAUGAAGAUAACUGGAGAGGAGAGCGGGUGUAUGCUCAUCUGGUCUAAAUGUAUUUUGUGGACCUGAAGAAGGCGCAUGACCGGGCCUCCCGCAAUACUGAGGGAGUAUGGGGUGAGGGGGUUCCUUCUUAGCGCCAUCCAAUCUGUGUUUGUGUUCUCUGCAGUAAGUCGUAGUUGUUUCCGGUGGGGGAUGGCCUUCGCCAGGGCGGCGCCUCGUCACCAAUUCUAUCUGAAGCGGUUCGCAGCAGAGUGUGAAAUGGUCGGGAUCAGGAUCAUCACCUUUAAAUCUGAGGCCAUGGUUCUCUGCAGGAAACCGUAAUGGAUUGCCUACUGUGGCCAACCAAACAGCUGAAGUGUAACUACACUGACCUCCGUACAGGCGAGCCUUGGUUCUGUUACAAGCCAACAAACCUGAGCUGUGAUACCAGGAUCAACCACUUUAGGGUAGCAUUCAAACAAAACCUCAUAAUCGAAGGAGGAGAAGCUCUUUCAGAGG